rnacentral:misc_RNA from 1 species
AAUGCUGAUUUUCAAACAAGCAUCAGAAGAUGAAGUGCUUCUCUUAAGCAAAGCCCAUCAUUCUCACCAGCAUUUCUGCAACAUAAUAAAUAUAAUUAAGCAACUAAGUUCAAAGAUGUAGGAUAAUGGAAGUCAUAGCAUGGCAUCACCAUCCUGACUAAAACCUUGACACUGAAACCCAAUCUUGCAAUGCAAGCUUUUAAAUGAUUCCACA